UGUCCCUUAGCAACCCCUUGUCUUUUGUCUUAGCCUCAUGUUCCGCCCGACACCCCCUAGGCCCCUCGUCCACGAUGCUUUCACCUAUUAGCACAUUGCGAUAUAUGAAAUGUGAGCGACGUGUCAGCGGUACGUACAGGUUGGAGAAUAUUGGAUUUGAUAUGUUAAUCGUAGAAUGUUAAUGCGGAAUAUAAUAUCUGGAAGAGGAAUUAGGAGGAAAUGCGAGAUGUGGGAAUUAAACGCCAUUUUAAUUCAUCGAGUAAGAGAAUCUGCCUGCAACAUCGAGGUCGGCGUGUAAGCAAAGCAAAAUUUAUUCGUAACUUUUGAUCCAAAUACUUUCUGACGGGCUAACAAAUAUUUUUACUGCGUCGACGAGAACAAGUUCUUAACAGCAAACUUCGUCGUAAACAUCGUGAUUUGUUCGAUGAAUCGCCAUUGAUAAUCAGAACCACGCAAUGGUAUCGCGUGUGCAUGCUAGCGAAUCGCGUUAUUUCCAUGCCAAUUCUAAGAAUUUUACGUUGAAGCUACCCGAUAAAUAUUAUCUCUGCGCAUACCAUUCGAUAAAAUUUCAAUCCUACGCUUCGCCACAGCAAAAUUGAAGGACCGCUGAAUAUUCGCCGAACGAUCGUCCAUAUUCAACUCGUAAUCUCGUGAAGAAAAUCGGCCUACUUGGACUCGUUUUAAACGGCCAAGUUUCCACCGUCGCGUCCACGAACUUAAUUUCUUCAAAGAUCUCUUCUCGUUGCGAAAAGAAGUGCGAAACUAAAGUAGCUCUUCUUCUCAAAAUUUACAAAUCCAGGCGAUUCUACGCAGUCUACAAGAAUUUCUUUUUCGUAAAGGAAAGUCUUCCCCUUACAAAGGCAAUCAACAAUCAAGACAACAAGACAAAGCCAUUAAACAAUCGAGUUACGAUAUUUUCUCGCCGUUUCUAGACGAAAAUUAUACCAUCGCGGUAUCGAAACUGUGAAAGCACACUCUUUGCUCUUUGAAAGGAACCCGAGUAGACCAUCUUCUUUCUCCUCGUCAAGUUGCAGCAGUUCAAACAUGGACCAGUUUUCAGUGAAAAUUUAGCGAUCCCCCAAUUCCAACUUCCCUACGAAUCUGUCGAACGACUCGAUAUUCCAAACACACAGCGUGAGAUUCGCCGACAGUACGCAAAUGUCGAAGGUCGCACGGUUCCGAGCGACGUUCCGCUCAUUCUUCUUUUAGCGUAACGUCGCUCGCGAGCUCCAACUGACCGACGUCCGAUCCGCGAAACCGUAAAAGGAAUCAGCUCCGGCGUCGAAGAAACAACGACGACGAAUUAGAUACGUUUGUACGUGGUUGGAUGUGAUCAAUGAACGACGACGUCACCGGUAACGUUUAUAACGACGAGCUACAAACACAAGCUACGAGUCGGCUAGCAACGACACGGAUCGCUCGCGUACGCUCGCACCGCCCCCUCCGCCUUCGAUCGAGGACGUUGCACUAAAUUUACCUGCGAUGCGUCAGAAUUCUCGGUUUUUCAAUAGUAUCACAUCUGCGAACGUGGGCCGCGUAUUUAGAAUUCGAACCUGUGAUUCACGUUGAAUGAACGGGCGUGAUCUGUUGCGUAGGUCAGUGAAGAACCCUCGCGUUGGGGUUGCUUCGGUUACGGUGGACAGAACAUUUUCUGAGAAAAUACUUCUCUGUAUCAACGACUGACUCUGGCCGCGCCUACCUGUCCGUGUAUUUAUAGUCUUCGAAGACGUUCGAAGGGGACACAUCGCGCUAAACUAUUAAAAUACGAAAAGAAUACCCAGGUGGAUCGACCAACGUUAUAAAAUACGUACGAUGCCGUUGAAAAGAUUCAGUCACCUUAAUUUCCCAGAAAAUCCAAGAAUUACAAGCUGGAUGUUUCCCGCCGGUUGAAGACUGCAGCCCAUGAAACAGGCUUCGAAACCUGUUAUAAUUUUUGUUUUUACUCGAAAAAAAUUUUUUUGUAUUCGUUAAAUAUAUAUAAAACCAUAGCU